rnacentral:rRNA from 1 species
GGAAUCUUCGGCAAUGGACGAAAGUCUGACCGAGCAACGCCGCGUGAGUGAAGAAGGUUUUCGGAUCGUAAAACUCUGUUGGUAGAGAAGAACGUUGGUGAGAGUGGAAAGCUCAUCAAGUGACGGUAACUACCCAGAAAGGGACGGCUAACUACGUGCUAG